GACGAACGCUGGCGGCGUGCCUAAUACAUGCAAGUAGAACGCUGAAGGAGGAGCUUGCUUCUCUGGAUGAGUUGCGAACGGGUGAGUAACGCGUAGGUAACCUGCCUGGUAGCGGGGGAUAACUAUUGGAAACGAUAGCUAAUACCGCAUAAGAGUAGAUGUUGCAUGACAUUUGCUUAAAAGGUGCAAUUGCAUCACUACCAGAUGGACCUGCGUUGUAUUAGCUAGUUGGUGGGGUAACGGCUCACCAAGGCGACGAUACAUAGCCGACCUGAGAGGGUGAUCGGCCACACUGGGACUGAGACACGGCCCAGACUCCUACGGGAGGCAGCAGUAGGGAAUCUUCGGCAAUGGACGGAAGUCUGACCGAGCAACGCCGCGUGAGUGAAGAAGGUUUUCGGAUCGUAAAGCUCUGUUGUAAGAGAAGAGCGAGUGUGAGAGUGGAAAGUUCACACUGUGACGGUAUCUUACCAGAAAGGGACGGCUAACUACGUGCCAGCAGCCGCGGUAAUACGUAGGUGGCAAGCGUUAUCCGGAUUUAUUGGGCGUAAAGAGAGUGCAGGCGGUUUUCUAAGUCUGAUGUGAAAGCCUUCGGCUUAACCGGAGAAGUGCAUCGGAAACUGGAUAACUUGAGUGCAGAAGAGGGUAGUGGAACUCCAUGUGUAGCGGUGGAAUGCGUAGAUAUAUGGGAAGAACACCAGUGGCGAAGGGGCUACCUGGGUCUGCAACUGACGCUGAGACUCGAAAGCAUGGGUAGCGACAGG
rnacentral:rRNA from 1 species